AUUGAACGCUGGCGGAAUGCUUUACACAUGCAAGUCGAACGGCAGCACGGGGCAACCUGGUGGCGAGUGGCGAACGGGUGAGUAAUACAUCGGAACGUGCCCAAUCGUGGGGGAUAACGUAGCGAAAGUUACGCUAAUACCGCAUACGAUCUACGGAUGAAAGCGGGGGAUCGCAAGACCUCGCGCGAAUGGAGCGGCCGAUGUCAGAUUAGGUAGUUGGUGGGGUAAAGGCUCACCAAGCCGACGAUCUGUAGCUGGUCUGAGAGGACGACCAGCCACACUGGGACUGAGACACGGCCCCAGACUCCUACGGGAGGCAGCAGU
rnacentral:rRNA from 1 species